AGCGGAGGAAAAGAAACCAACAGGGAUUGCCUCAGUAACGGCGAGUGAAGCGGCAAAAGCUCAAAUUUGAAAUCUGGCCUUUUCAGGGUCCGAGUUGUAAUUUGUAGAAGACGCUUUGGGUGUGGCUCCGGUUUAAGUUCUUUGGAAUAUUACAUCAUAGAGGGUGAGAAUCCCGUAUGUGACCGGUCGCCGCGCCCGUGUAAAGCUCUUUCAACGAGUCGAGUUGUUUGGGAAUGCAGCUCAAAAUGGGAGGUAUAUUUCUUCUAAAGCUAAAUAUUGGCCAGAGACCGAUAGCGCACAAGUAGAGUGAUCGAAAGAUGAAAAGCACUUUGGAAAGAGAGUUAAACAGUACGUGAAAUUGUUGAAAGGGAAGCGCUUGCAACCAGACUUGCACGCAGUUGAUCAUCCGGUGUUCUCACCGGGGCACUCUGCUGCGUUCAGGCCAGCAUCGGUUCUGGUGGUUGGAUAAAGACCUUGGGAAUGUGGCUUCUUUCGGGGAGUGUUAUAGCCCUCGGUGCAAUGCAGCCUACCGGGACCGAGGACCGCGCUUCGGCUAGGAUGCUGGCGUAAUGGUUGUAAGCGGCCCGUCUUGAAACACGGACCAAGGAGUCUAACAUCUAUGCGAGUGUUUGGGUGUCAAACCCAUACGCGUAAUGAAAGUGAACGGAGGUGAGAACCCUUAAGGGUGCAUCAUCGACCGGUCCUGAUGUCUUCGGAUGGAUCUGAGUAAGAGCAUAGCUGUUGGGACCCGAAAGAUGGUGAACUAUGCGUGAAUAGGGUGAAGCCAGAGGAAACUCUGGUGGAGGCUCGCAGCGGUUCUGACGUGCAAAUCGAUCGUCAAAUUUGCGCAUAGGGGCGAAAGACUUAUCGAACCAUCUAGUAGCUGGUCCUG
rnacentral:rRNA from 1 species